rnacentral:rRNA from 1 species
AUUGAACGCUGGCGGCAGGCCUAACACAUGCAAGUCGAACGAGUGGCGGACGGGUGAGUAAUGUCUGGGAAACUGCCCGAUGGAGGGGGAUAACUACUGGAAACGGUAGCUAAUACCGCAUACCAUCGGAUGUGCCCAGAUGGGAUUAGCUAGUAGGUGGGGUAACGGCUCACCUGGGCGACGAUCCCUAGCUGGUCUGAGAGGAUGACCAGCCACACUGGAACUGAGACACGGUCCAGACUCCUACGGGAGGCAGAAGUGGGGAAAAUUGCACAAUGGGGGAAAGCCGGAGGAAGCAAGGCCGCUGGUAGGAAGAAGGCCUUCGGGUUGAAAAGUACUUUCAGCGAGGAGGCGUUACUCGCAGAAGAAGCACCGGCUAACUCCGUGCCAGCAGCCGCGGUAAUUC